UGGGGAAUAUUGGACAAUGGGCGCAAGCCUGAUCCAGCCAUGCCGCGUGAGUGAUGAAGGCCUUAGGGUUGUAAAGCUCUUUCGCCGGUGAAGAUAAUGACGGUAACCGGAGAAGAAGCCCCGGCUAACUUCGUGCCAGCAGCCGCGGUAAUACGAAGGGGGCUAGCGUUGCUCGGAAUCACUGGGCGUAAAGCGCACGUAGGCGGAUCGUUAAGUCAGGGGUGAAAUCCUGGAGCUCAACUCCAGAACUGCCCUUGAUACUGGCGAUCUCGAGUUCGAGAGAGGUUGGUGGAACUCCGAGUGUAGAGGUGAAAUUCGUAGAUAUUCGGAAGAACACCAGUGGCGAAGGCGGCCAACUGGCUCGAUACUGACGCUGAGGUGCGAAAGCGUGGGGAGCAAAACAGGAUUAGAUA
rnacentral:rRNA from 1 species